AUCGGUAUGUUUAACUGGCGUAACGUGGUUAACAAUGAUGGAGUACAUACUUAUAUAGCCGUACGCCUGGGCAAAGCAU
rnacentral:ncRNA from 2 species